rnacentral:rRNA from 1 species
GUUGAACGCUGGCGGCAUGCCUUACACAUGCAAGUCGAACGGUAACGGGCCUUCGGGUGCCGACGAGUGGCGAACGGGUGCGUAAUACAUCGGAACGUGCCCGCUCGUGGGGGAAAAGGGGGCAAAGCCUUUACUAUACGCCAUACGCUCAACGGAUAAAGACCGGGAACGGCAAGGCGUGGCCGGCACGGAGCGGUCGAUGGCAGAUUAGGUAGUUGGUGGGAUAAAGGCUUACCAAGCCGACGAUCUGUAGCUGGUCUGAGAGGAUGAUCAGCCACACUGGGACUGAGACACGGCCCAGACUCCUACGGGAGGCAGCAGUGGGGAAUUUUGGACAAUGGGCGCAAGCCUGAUCCAGCCAUGCCGCGUGCAGGAUGAAGGCCUUCGGGUUGUAAACUGCUUUUGUACGGAACGAAAAGCCUUCUUUUAAUACAGGAGGGUCAUGACGGUACCGUAAGAAUAAGCACCGGCUAACUACGUG